GAUGAACGCUGGCGGCGUGCCUAAUACAUGCAAGUCGAGCGAACAGACGAGGAGCUUGCUCCUCUGACGUUAGCGGCGGACGGGUGAGUAACACGUGGAUAACCUACCUAUAAGACUGGGAUAACUUCGGGAAACCGGAGCUAAUACCGGAUAAUAUAUUGAACCGCAUGGUUCAAUAGUGAAAGACGGUUUUGCUGUCACUUAUAGAUGGAUCCGCGCCGCAUUAGCUAGUUGGUAAGGUAACGGCUUACCAAGGCAACGAUGCGUAGCCGACCUGAGAGGGGAAUCGGCAAAAUUGAACCUGAGAACGGGUCAAGACCCCAAGGGGGGCAGCAGUAGGGAAUCUUCCGCAAUGGGCGAAAGCCUGACGGAGCAACGCCGCGUGAGUGAUGAAGGUCUUCGGAUCGUAAAACUCUGUUAUUAGGGAAGAACAAAUGUGUAAGUAACUAUGCACGUCUUGACGGUACCUAAUCAGAAAGCCACGGCUAACUACGUG
rnacentral:rRNA from 1 species